AGUGGGGAAUAUUGGACAAUGGGCGCAAGCCUGAUCCAGCCAUGCCGCGUGAGUGAUGAAGGCCUUAGGGUUGUAAAGCUCUUUCGCACGCGACGAUAAUGACGGUAGCGUGAGAAGAAGCCCCGGCUAACUUCGUGCCAGCAGCCGCGGUAAUACGAAGGGGGCUAGCGUUGUUCGGAAUCACUGGGCGUAAAGGGCGCGUAGGCGGCUUUGUAAGUCGGGGGUGAAAGCCUGUGGCUCAACCACAGAAUUGCCUUCGAUACUGCAUGGCUUGAGACCGGAAGAGGUUAGUGGAACUGCGAGUGUAGAGGUGAAAUUCGUAGAUAUUCGCAAGAACACCAGUGGCGAAGGCGGCUGACUGGUCCGGAUCUGACGCUGAGGCGCGAAAGCGUGGGGAGCAAA
rnacentral:rRNA from 1 species